ensembl:rRNA 5S_rRNA 5S ribosomal RNA
AUAAGCAGCCAAAUCACCCUGCAACUCACAACUGGUGACCUACUGAAGCUAAGCAGGUGUGAGCCUGGUCAGUACCUGGAUGGGAGACCUCCUGGGAAAAACUAAGGUUGCUGCUGGAA